rnacentral:rRNA from 1 species
AUGUGGUUAAUUCGAAGCAACGCGAAGAACCUUACCAGGCCUUGACAUGCAGAGAACUUUCCAGAGAUGGAUUGGUGCCUUCGGGAACUCUGACACAGGUGCUGCAUGGCUGUCGUCAGCUCGUGUCGUGAGAUGUUCGGCUAAGUCCGCUAACGAGCGCAACCCUCGUCGUAUGUUAUAUGUGUCAUACGAGACUGCCGGUAAAAGCCGGAGGGAGGUGAGGAUGAUGUCAAGUCAGCAUGACCUUUAUAUCCAGGGCUACACACACGCUACAAUGGUCUGUACAAUGGGUAGCCAAGCCGCGAGGCGGAGCCAAUCCUGAAAGCAGGCCUCAGUUCAGAUUGCAGUCUGCAACUCGACUGCAUGAAGCCGGAGUUGCUAGUAACCGCAGGUCAGCAAUACUGCGGUGAAUACGUUCCCGGGUCUU